rnacentral:rRNA from 1 species
AGUGAACGCUGGCGGCAGGCCUAACACAUGCAAGUCGAGCGGCAGCGGGUUCCCGCGAGGGGAUGCCGGCGAGCGGCGGACGGGUGAGGAACACAUCGGAAUCUGCCUGGUUGUGGGGGAUAACGUAGGGAAACUUACGCUAAUACCGCAUGCGACCCUGAGUCGACGGACUGGGGGUGAAAGUGAGGGACCUUCGGGCCUCACGCGACCAGAUGAGCCGAUGUCGGAUAGCUAGUUGGCGGGGUAACGGCCCGCCAAGGCGACGAUCCGUAGCUGGUCUGAGAGGAUGAUCAGCCACACUGGGACUGAGACACGGCCCAGACUCCUACGGGAGGCAGCAGUGGGGAAUCUUGGACAAUGGGCGCAAGCCUGA